rnacentral:rRNA from 1 species
UACGUAGGGUGCAAGCGUUGUCCGGAAUUAUUGGGCGUAAAGAGCUCGUAGGCGGUCUGUUGCGUCGGCUGUGAAAACCCGGGGCUCAACCCCGGGCCUGCAGCCGAUACGGGCAGACUAGAGUUCGGCAGGGGAGACUGGAAUUCCUGGUGUAGCGGUGAAAUGCGCAGAUAUCAGGAGGAACACCGGUGGCGAAGGCGGGUCUCUGGGCCGAUACUGACGCUGAGGAGCGAAAGCGUGGGGAGCGAACAUG